rnacentral:rRNA from 1 species
UACGGGGGGAGCAAGCGUUGUUCGGAUUUACUGGGCGUAAAGGGCGCGUAGGCGGUCAGCACAAGUCAGUUGUGAAAUCUCCGGGCUUAACUCGGAAAGGUCAACUGAUACUGUGCGACUAGAGUGCGGAAGGGGCAACUGGAAUUCUUGGUGUAGCGGUGAAAUGCGUAGAUAUCAAGAGGAACACCUGCGGCGAAGGCGGGUUGCUGGGCCGACACUGACGCUGAGGCGCGAAAGCUAGGGGAGCAAACGGG